CACGUAGUUAGCCGGUCCUUAUUCCCCACCUACCGUCAACCCCGGGAGAACCCGGGGCCUGCGUGAGUGGUAAAAGAGGUUUACAACCCGAAGGCCGUCAUCCCCCGACGCGGCGUCGCUGCGUCAGGCUUUCGCCCAUUGCGCAAGAUUCCCCACUGCUGCCUCCCGCAGGAGUCUGGGCCGUGUCUCAGUCCCAGUGUGGCCGGUCGCCCUCUCAGGCCGGCUACCCGUAAUCGCCUUGGUAGGCCGUUACCCCACCAACAAGCUGAUAGGCCGCGAGCCCAUCCCCGACCGAAACAACUUUCCACCCGCACCCCAGGCAGGGGCGGGUCGUAUCCGGUAUUAGACGGCGUUUCCACCGCUUAUCCCAGAGUCAGGGGCAGGUUGCUCACGUGUUACUCACCCGUUCGCCGCUCGUGUACCCCGAAGGGCCUUACCGCUCGACUUGCAUGUGUUAAGCGCGCCGCCAGCGUCGUCCGUCGAGCCGACGAGUCAAACUAC
rnacentral:rRNA from 1 species